AGAGUAACCGCCCUCCCUAAGACU
rnacentral:tRNA from 1 species